rfam:Drosophila willistoni strain TSC#14030-0811.24 scf2_1100000004577 genomic scaffold, whole genome shotgun sequence.
UGCUGUAAAGUCUGAAAUUUUGCACACAUUUACAAUUAUUGUAAAUGUGUUGAAAAUCGUUUGCACAAACUGUG